rnacentral:rRNA from 1 species
CGAAAGGGUGAGUAAUGCUUGGACGAUCUACCUUCGAGUUGGGGACAACUGCCCGAAAGGGCUGCUAAUACCCAAUAGUCCAUCCCGGAUUCGUCCGGUCUGGUAAAGGUGCUUCCGCUCGAAGAGGGGUCCAAGUCCUAUCAGCUUGUUGGUGAGGUAACGGCUCACCAAGGCUAUGACGGGUAGCCGGACUGAGAGGUUGGCCGGUCACAUGGGAACUGAGACACUGUCCUGACUCCUACGGGAGGCUGCAGUCGAGAAUCUUCUGCAAUGGGCGAAAGCCUGACAGAGCGACGCCGCGUGGAGGAUGAAGGCCCUCGGGUCGUAAACUCCUGUCACAAGUUAUGAAAUGUACAGGUCUACCUGUGCACUGACAAAGGCUUGAGAGGAAGUCACGGCUAACUUCGUGCCAGCAGCCGCGGUAAGACGAAGGUGGCGAGCGUUAUUCGGAUUUACUGGGCAUAAAGCGCGCGUAGGCGGCUCAGUCAGUCGGAGGUGAAAUCCCGCAGCUCAACUGCGGAACUGCCCCCGAUACUGCUGAGCUUGAGUGCAGGAGGGGUGACCGGAACUCCAGGUGGAGCGGUGAAAUGCGUAGAUAUCUGGAGGAACACCAGAGGCGAAGGCGGGUCACUGGACUGCAACUGACGCUGAGGUGCGAAAGCUAGGGGAGCGAACAGGAUUAGAUACCCUGGUAGUCCUAGCUGUAAACGAUGGGUACUAGGCAACGGAUGUCCGAUGCGUUCGUUGUCGAAGCUAAUGUGCUAAGUACCCC